rnacentral:rRNA from 1 species
AUUGAACGCUGGCGGCAUGCCUUACACAUGCAAGUCGAACGGCAGCACGGGAGCAAUCCUGGUGGCGAGUGGCGAACGGGUGAGUAAAGUAUCGGAACGUGCCCAGUCGUGGGGGAUAACGUAGCGAAAGUUACGCUAAUACCGCAUACGAUCUAUGGAUGAAAGCGGGGGAUCGCAAGACCUCGCGCGAUUGGAGCGGCCGAUAUCAGAUUAGGUAGGUGGUGGGGUACAGGCUCACCAAGCCGACGAUCUGUAGCUGGUCUGAGAGGACGACCAGCCACACUGGGACUGCGACACGGCCCAGACUCCUACGGGAGGCAGCAGUGGGGAAUUUUGGACAAUGGGCGAAAGCCUGAUCCAGCCAUGCCGCGUGCAGGAUGAAGGCCUUCGGGUUGUAAACUGCUUUUGUACGGAACGAAAAGGUUUGGGCUAAUAAGCUGAGCUCAUGACGGUACCGUAAGAAUAAGCACCGGCUAACUACGUGCCAGCCGCCGCCGUAA